AAAGAAACUAACAAGGAUUCCCCUAGUAACGGCGAGCGAAGCGGGAAGAGCUCAAAUUUGAAAGCUGGCGUCUUCGGCGUCCGCGUUGUAAUCUCGAGACGUGUUUUCCGUGCGGCUCUAUGGACAAGUCCCUUGGAACAGGGCAUCGUAGAGGGUGAAAAUCCCGUACUUGCCAUGGAAGUACCGUGCUUUGUGAUACACGCUCCAAGAGUCGAGUAGUUUGGGAUUGCUGCUCAAAGUGGGUGGUAGACUCCAUCUAAAGCUAAAUAUCGGGGAGAGACCGAUAGCGAACAAGUACCGUGAGGGAAAGAUGAAAAGCACUUUGGAAAGAGAGUUAAAAGUACGUGAAAUUGUCGAAAGGGAAGCACUUGAAGUCAGCCAUGCUGCUUGAGACUCAGCCUGGCUUUUGCUUGGUGUAUUUCUCGGUAGCAAGCCAGCAUUGGUUUGUGUCGUCGGAGAAGCGUAUGGGGAAUGUGGCAUCCUCGGAUGUGUUAUAGCCCUGUGCAGGAUACGACGACGUAGACCAAGGAACGCAG
rnacentral:rRNA from 1 species